UACGAAGGAUUCGAGCGUUAUCCGGAUUUAUUGGGUUUAAAGGGUGCGUAGGUGGUCUAAUAAGUCAGUGGUGAAAGCCCGCAGCUUAACUGCGGAACUGCCAUUGAUACUGUUAGUCUUGAGUACAGUUGAGGUGGGCGGAAUGUGUCAUGUAGCGGUGAAAUGCUUAGAUAUGACACAGAACACCGAUUGCGAAGGCAGCUCACUAAGCUGUAACUGACACUGAGGCACGAAAGCGUGGGGAGCAAACAGG
rnacentral:rRNA from 1 species